CACAGACGAGUCGCCAUGGAGUUUGUGCUGUGUUGGCUUUUCCUUGUUGCCCUUUUAAAAGGUGUCCAGUGUGAAGUGCAGCUAGUGGAGUCCGGGGGAGGCCUGAGCAACCUGAGGGGUCUGUAAGACUCUCCUGUGCAGCCUCUGGAUUCACCUUCAGCGAUUAUGGCAUGAGCUGGGUCCGCCAGGCUCCAGGGAAGGGCCUGCAGUGGGUGGCAUUGAUUAGCUAUAAUGGUGGUAGCACAUACUACGCAGACUCUGUGAAGGGCCGAUUCACCAUCUCCAGAGACAACGCCAAGAACACGCUGUAUCUGCAAAUGAACAGUCUGAAAGUCGAGGACACAGCCGUGUAUUACUGUGCAAAAAGACACAGUGAGGACAAGUCAGUGUGA